GGAAUUGACGGGGGCCCGCACAAGCAGCGGAAGCAUGCGGCUUAAUUCGAUGCAAACGCGAAGAACCUUACCUAGGCUUGACAUGCAUUGAAAACUGUUAGAGAUAACAGGUCCGCAAGGGCUUUGCACAGGUGGUGCAUGGCUGUCGUCAGCUCGUGUCGUGAGAUGUUGGGUUAAGUCCCGCAACGAGCGCAACCCUCGUCUUGUGUUGCCAACAGGUAAUGCUGGGAACUCACAAGAGACUGCCGGGGUCAACUCGGAGGAAGGUGGGGACGACGUCAAGUCAUCAUGCCCCUUAUGUCUAGGGCUGCACGCAUGCUACAAUGGCCGAUACAAAGGGCUGCGAUACCGCAAGGUGGAGCGAAUCCCAUAAAGUCGGUCUCAGUUCGGAUUGAGGUCUGCAACUCGACCUCAUGAAGUUGGAGUUGCUAGUAAUCGCGGAUCAGCAACGCCGCGGUGAAUACGUUCCCGGGCCUUGUACACACCGCCCGUCACGUCACGAAAGUCGGUAACACCCAAAAACCAGUGUCCAACCGUAAGG
rnacentral:rRNA from 1 species